rnacentral:tRNA from 1 species
GGAGGUAUAGCUCUGUGGUAGAGUGUAUGCUUAGCAUGCACAAGGUCCUGGGUUCAAUCCCCAGUACCUCCA